UCGCACAUUACGGCCACCAGUCGCCGCCACUAAACGCGACCACCAGUAGUUCGGCUAGACCACUACACGCCGCCACCAGUGGCAGCCACUAGUGGCCGCAUCAAGCCACCAGUGGCUGCCACUUGCGUCAGACACUAGCUGCAAGUAUCUCGACAGAGGUAGACGUGUGUUGCCCAAGAAUGGACGCACUCUUGAUUUCGCUAUUGUUGCUUAUUAUUCUAAAACGUAGAAAACGGCGCCGAAUUCAGAACCAUCGACGACCAAUUCAUCGGCGUCACUGGGUACAUCCAAUUCUGACAUCACGCAAUAAAAAUGGACAGCACAAAUUGCUGUUCGAAGAGUUAAAAUGUUAUCCAGAUAAGUUCUUCAAGUAUUUUAGAAUGAGCGUGAACUCAUUCAAUGAAUUACUUAGCGUUUUGCACGAUGACCUCAAACAUCAAGAUACACGCAUGAGAAAAAGCAUCUCUCCAACAGAAAGGCUGGCUAUAACUUUAAGGUAAGUAUCAUUCAUUCGUAUCAUUUUGCUUCUAUUAGUUUGCGACUCACGUGGAUUCUAGAACGUAAAACAAACAAUUAAAAAAGCCAAAUUGAAAUAGAAAUUAUUUAUUAAUGAGAAUUGAAAAAUCGCAAACUAAAUCAAGUUACAUAUCGCAGAUAUACAGUUUUUAUAACAAAUACACAUUUACUUUUACAUAGUCAGUUGUCAAAAAGAUGUUCAUUUAUAUCAUCUGACAAAACAGAAUUCAUAGUAUUAUCAGAUGCAGAUGGCGAGCUAACGGAAAAGUCAUGCUCAAAAUUUGAUUGAUAUCCCAUAGAAGGUGGACGCGAAGCCGAUUGAUAUCCCAAAGCAGAUGGACGCGGAGUCGGUUGAUAACCCGAAGUAGAUGGUUGCAUAGUAUGGUACCUUGCUACUGGUUGUUCAUUUGGUGAUUUUGAAUUAGUAUAUCGAUGUGGUGCGUCAACUGCGAGAUUGAUUGUAAAAGAAACAUGUAAAUUGAUCUAUGCAUCACUUCAAGAUAUCUGCGUACCACAACCAACUGAAGAGAUGUGGAGUAAAAUAGCUAAGGGGUUUGAAGAAUAUGCUAACUUUCCAAAUUGCUGUGGUGCAAUUGAUGGAAAACAUAUAAGGAUUAUUAAGCCUCAAGAUAGCGGAUCCUUAUAUUAUAAUUAUAAACACUAUUUUUCCAUCGUACUUCUAGCUAUCUGUGACGUGAAUUAUAAGUUCACAUUUAUUGAUGUCGGCUCUUAUGGGAAAGCUUCAGAUUCGACUAUCUACAAAGAAUCGAAAUUAUUCAAAAAAUUGGAAGACCAAUCCCUGAAUUUACCUGCACCAAAAGCAAUUUCUAGUAGUUCUGGUCCUGUAAACUACUGUUUUGUUGGUGAUGAAGCUUUUGGUCUUGCAGAACACAUGUUGAGACCUUAUUCAGGAAAACACUUGAAUAUUGAAAAAAGAAUUUUCAACUAUAGGCUUUCUCGAGCCAGGCGUCAUAUCGAGUGUGCCUUUGGGAUAUUAGUGAAUAAGUGGAGAAUACUACAUCGACCAUUGAAUGUGUCAAUAGAUUUCGCCGAAGACAUCGUGAAGGCCUGUUGUAUACUACACAACUUUGUUCGUCAGAGAGAUGGAUUUAAUUUCCAUCAUACAUUGACUGUACCAGGACUUCACGAUAUCGAUAACGCCCACGUGCAAUCUCGUCGUUCAUUAAACACCAGAGAUAUAUUGAAAGAUUAUUUUAUUAGCAACGAGGGAGCUGUACCUUGGCAAAAUAAUAAAAUAUAAUAAAUAUAUAAUAAUAAUGUAAAAUAAAAUUGUCCAAAAACUUA